rnacentral:lncRNA from 1 species
GCUUGUGAGUAAUAAGCCUUGUUUUCUCAAAGUUCCCUGUUGGUUGUUGUGAGGUGCAUCUUGUAAUCAUAGUAAGAGCCACAAGGGCUGGUCCAGCUACAACAUUGGCUCCAGUGUGGGGAGUAGAGGUUCACCACAAGUAGUAGGGCCCAGGGGAGUGCUGCCAGGCAGUCCUAGAAAACAGCAUCCAUAUAGGCUGACAUAAAACAGAUACUCAUCAGAUAGCUCACCCUUCCUCACUGGUGAGGAAUAAAGGGGGGCAAGAGGGCAAGAGUCUUUAGGGAAGACUUAAAACCAGAAAGAGGGAAGCAGCAUUUCCCCGUGCCACUCUUCAACACCCAACACUGCACUUUUCGUCAAGUCCCUCCUGCCCCUCCCCACCGAGCUACUUUCUUGGUUAUCUUUCAGGUCUCAGCAAAAACAUGGCCCCCUCCUGGAAGUCUUUUCUGCUCCCCCAGACUAGAUGUGGCUCACUGUAGCAGAAUUCUUGGGAACAGUGUCUUCAGUUAUGCCAAGAAGAAUGGCAUUUCUCACAAGGAAGUGUGCCGCUGACUUAGAGCUGUCUGUUGGAAGGUUAUAGAGCUCUUCAAGGGAACAGAGUGUGUCCUGCUCAUCUUUACAUCCCAAGUACUUGACCCAAGGCCUAACACAUAAAGAACACUUGUUUCAUUUGGGACUUGGGUGAUGUCGGACUUCCCUUCGCCAUGCAAUCCGUCCCGGACAUCGAUGGGGCUGCCUUGGUGAAGAAUGGUUCACCCAUCCUUUCACCCAUCUCUCACAUCACUUUGAGACCUUAGAUGGUCUCUUGCUGGGUGCACAUUCAUUGUAUCAUCUAAAGAGGUAUGUCUGUUAGACAGUUGUAUUGUCCAACUUGGAUCCAAGCUUGGGUUUCAUUUUUUCCAUUAUCUCAUCAGGGUCUUGAUGAGGAGUUUCUCGAUGUGUCAGGUCUUGUUGGAGAUACAUAGAACUCUGAUCAGUUCAUCAACAGACACUUUUGGUUUUUUACUAAUCUAAAAAAGUUUUCAUAUGAUUUUUUUUCUUAAAAAAAUAUUUGAUCUUAAAACAAUUUUACACACACACAGAAUUGCCCUUCCUACCUCAUCAUCUUAUAACAAUUUGCAUUUCUUAAUACCAUACUAACAAUUAACAUUUAUUGAGCACUUGCCGUGUCUAAAAUGCUGGGCUGAGCAUUUACAUGCCUCAUCUCAUUUAUUUUUCACAUCAACCCCAUGAAAUGGAC